AUACAGAGGGUGCGAGCGUUAAUCGGAAUUACUGGGCGUAAAGCGCGCGUAGGCGGUUACUUAAGUCAGAUGUGAAAUCCCCGGGCUCAACCUGGGAACUGCAUCUGAUACUGGGUAGCUAGAGUUUAGGAGAGGGAAGUAGAAUUUCAGGUGUAGCGGUGAAAUGCAUAGAGAUCUGAAGGAAUACCAGUGGCGAAGGCGGCUUCCUGGCCUAAAACUGACGCUGAGGUGCGAAAGCGUGGGUAGCAAACGGAAUUAGAUACCCCGGUAGUCC
rnacentral:rRNA from 1 species